rnacentral:rRNA from 1 species
GGCGCUAUAGCGUCGUGCCUAUACCGGGCCGUCAACGGCACAGUGGGACGGCGUUCCGGCCCCCCCGGGGUCGGGCGCGUCCGUUAAGCCUUGACGAGUAGGACGGUCGCGGCGGUGUGCGCAGAAGGGUCUGGGCGUGAGCCCUCCUGGAGCCGCCGUCGGCGCAGAUCUUGGUGGUAGUAGCAAAUACUCUAGCGAGGACCUGGAGGACUGAUGUGGAGAAGGGUUUCUUGUGAACAGCCGUUGCACAAGAGUCAGUCGACCCUAAGCCCUAGGAGAAAUCCGAUGUUGAUGGCGGGCGAAAGGGAAUCCGGUUCCUAUUCCGGAACCCGGCUGCGGAACCGUAACUUCGCGGGCGUUCGCCUGCGAGCGCUCGUCGGGGUAACCCAAACUGGCCCGGAGACGCCGGCGGGAGGUCUGGAAAGAGUUUUCUUUUCUUUAUAAGCGUUCGAGUUCCCUGGAAUCCUAUUGCAGGGAGAUAGGGUUUGGAACGCGAAGAGCACCGCAGUUGCGGCGGUGUCCGGACCUUCCCCCCGGACCUUGAAAAUCCGGGUGAGGGCUACGCGGAAUGUCGCGCCGGAUCGUACCCAUAUCCGCAGCAGGUCUCCAAGGUUAAGAGCCUCUAGUCGAU